rnacentral:rRNA from 1 species
AUACGGAGGAUCCAAGCGUUAUCCGGAAUCAUUGGGUUUAAAGGGUCCGUAGGUGGAUAAUUAAGUCAGAGGUGAAAUCCUGCAGCUCAACUGUAGCAUUGCCUUUGAUACUGGUUAUCUUGAGUUAUUAUGAAGUAGUUAGAAUAUGUAGUGUAGCGGUGAAAUGCAAAGAUAUUACAUAGAAUACCGAUUGCGAAGGCAGAUUACUAAUAAUAUACUGACACUGAGGGACGAAAGCGUGGGGAGCGAACAGGAUUAGAAACCCUAGUAGUCC